AUUGAACGCUGGCGGCAGGCUUAACACAUGCAAGUCGAGCGAGCGGCGGACGGGUGAGUAAUGUCUGGGAAACUGCCUGAUGGAUGGGGAUAACUACUGGAAACGGUAGCUAAUACCGCAUACCAUCAGAUGUGCCCAGGUGGGAUUAGCUAGUAGGGGGGGUAAUGGCUCACCUCGGCGACGAUCCCUAGCUGGUCUGAGAGGAUGACCAGCCACACUGGAACUGAGACACGGUCCAGACUCCUACGGGAGGCAGCAGUGGGGAAUAUUGCACAAUGGGCGAAAGCCUGAUGCAGCCAUGCCGCGUGUGUGAAGAAGGCCUUCGGGUUGUAAAGCACUUUAAGCGGGGAGGCGUUACUCGCAGAAGAAGCACCGGCUAACUCCGUGCCAGCAGCCGCGGUAAUUC
rnacentral:rRNA from 1 species